rnacentral:rRNA from 1 species
AUUGAACGCUGGCGGCAGGCCUAACACAUGCAAGUCGAACGAGUGGCGGACGGGUGAGUCAUGUCUGGGAAACUGCCUGAUGUAGGGGGAUAACUACUGUAAACGGUAGCUAAUACCGCAUACUAUCAUAUCUGCCCAGAUGGGAUUAGCUAGUUGGUGGGGUAACGGCUCACCAAGGCGACGAUCCCUAGCUGGUAUGAGAGGAUGAACAGCCACACUGGAACGGAGACACGGUCCAGACUCCUACGGUAGGCAGCAGUGGGGAAUAUUGCACUAUGGGCGAAAGCCUGAUGCAGCCAGGCCGCGUGUAUGAAGAAGGCCUUCGGGUUGUAAAGUACUUUCAGCGGGGAGGCGUUACCCGCAGAAGAAGCACCGGCUAACUCCGUGCCAGCAGCCGCGGUAAUAC